CAUCUGUAGAGAUGAGUAAUUACACAGAAAUACAAUAUAAACAACAGCAGCCAUGUUGUGAUUUCAAAAUAGAAAAUACACAAAACUGAGUAAAGAUCUGAUAAUGACGACACAAUACAUAACCACCACUCAGCCAGUGGUUGCACAGCCCAAUGUUGUGGUGUACAACCAGAGUCAAGUUCCAGGGAGAAGUGUUAGUGAUCGCUACAACAAAAAAGCCUCUAAUGUCGUAGGAAUCCUCAUCCUGAUGGGGGGUGUAUUGAGUUUUAUAUUGGGCUGUGUGGCAAUAGGAAUCAAGGCCAGCCUAUACCAGAGUGGUGUUGGCCUUUGGUGUGGAGUACUGUUCUAUGGUAUUACUGGUGUUCUUGGUAUACUGGCCUCUAAACCAACCAGAAAUGGGCAGAAUGGUUACAUUACUGGCUUUAUGGUGAUGUGCAUAAUAACUGUUUCAUUCGCCUGCCUUGUCAUGCUUGGAAUAACAGCAGCAGGAGUUGGCAUGGAUGACAACUAUUAUGGCAGAAGCUACAGAUUGAAUCCUGAGAUAUGGGAAAGGAAUUCCAUUUUUACGAGGAUAUCAAGGGAUCCUCAGCUGGCAGUGAAUGCCUUGUUACUUGCUAUCACAUUAGCCGAGGGGAUUCUCUGCAUCAUUGGAUCAUCAUUUGGAUGUGCUGCCGUGUGCUGUUAUACAUCAUCCCCGGGAUAUGUUGUUCAAGGUAGGCAGACCACAGUUAUAACCCAAGGCCAGCCUGCCACGCAGGCCGCAUACUACCCACAGGGUCAAACGACUACAGUUAUCCCACCACCAGGACAACAGGCACAACCCCAACAAUAUGGACAGCCACAAUAUGGCCAGCCUCAGCCACAAUACGGCCAACCUCAGCCACAAUAUGGCCAGCCUCAGCCACAAUAUGGUCAACAGCAACAAUAUGGUCAACAGCCACAAUAUGGUCAGCCUCAAGCAACAGGUGGACCCCAACCCCCGCCAUACAACCCAGAUGUGAAACCUGAUGAGAAAAACCCGAAUGGGCCUCCACCUUCUUACAACUACUAGGGCUCUUUGCUUGUUUUCUUGUAAUAAGGCAACUUUGUAAGAUACUUGUGUCUGGCAAAUUUAUUGAAUUUCGAAAUGAUGCCUACUGACUUUAUUCUAAGAAAUAUUAUAAAUUUUCCAGUAAACAAGUGUGUUGUUUACAGUUCAAAAAGAAUUCUGGCCCUAUUCUUCUAUGAUGGCUAGCUAUAUAUGAUCGCUAGCUAUAUAAAGUGCUAUUUAGAAAAAAUAUUCAAGGAGAUAUACAAAAUAAAUUCUCAAACACCCAGUAAGCCUUUUAUAGGAAGCACUUUGAGUUGAGCUUCAGGCCCAUAGUUCUUCUAAAGGAAAACAACACGAAGUGUAUCCCCACUUUUACAAGAAAAAAGUGUAUCCCCACUUUUACAAGAAAAUAAGGUAUGUGACUUGAUCGAGAAAAUGCUUGAUAAAAAUAUUUAGCUUGAUAUUUGUUAUUAUAAGAGCUUUUAAUGUGUACUGUACGCCCGGUAUUAUUCGCGUGCG
rnacentral:misc_RNA from 1 species